rnacentral:rRNA from 1 species
UGGGGAAUUUUGGACAAUGGGCGAAAGCCUGAUCCAGCAAUGCCGCGUGUGUGAAGAAGGCCUUCGGGUUGUAAAGCACUUUUGUCCGGAAAGAAAUCCUUGGCUCUAAUACAGUCGGGGGAUGACGGUACCGGAAGAAUAAGCACCGGCUAACUACGUGCCAGCAGCCGCGGUAAUACGUAGGGUGCAAGCGUUAAUCGGAAUUACUGGGCGUAAAGCGUGCGCAGGCGGUUUGCUAAGACCGAUGUGAAAUCCCCGGGCUCAACCUGGGAACUGCAUUGGUGACUGGCAGGCUAGAGUAUGGCAGAGGGGGGUAGAAUUCCACGUGUAGCAGUGAAAUGCGUAGAGAUGUGGAGGAAUACCGAUGGCGAAGGCAGCCCCCUGGGCCAAAUACUGACGCUCAUGCACGAAAGCGUGGGGGAGCAAAACAGGAUUAGAUACCCCUGGUAGUCCACGCCCUAAAACGAUGUCAACUAGUUGUUGGGGAUUCAUUUCCUUAGUAACGUAGCUAACGCGUGAAGUUGACCGCCUGGGGAGUACGGUCGC